UCAUGUUCCAACCUGCUUAUCCUCACAAGGGUUGGGAGAAAGCUGGAGGCUAUCCCAGCUAGUUUCAGGCAAAAGGCAAACUACACCCUGAAGUGAUCACCAGUCAGUCACAGGGUACAUAUCGACACCAUCACUGAGUGGGAAUCGAUUCCACUCUCCCCGCACCAAAAGUAGGCAGAGGGACGCUACCCUCUCAUCUACCAGGUUCAACUCCAAUGUACGGGCGUCGAGCUAAAGAGGCAAUGAGUAUGCCCACUCCUCUUGGCGCCUCUCACCGUUGGGAACUCCAGAGUGGAAGAGACUCCAACCCCUCUCGAGAGGACCACUACCAGAGAACAAGCGAGAGGUGAAAUUACAUGUCUCUGGAGCUAGUAUCUCUAGCAAGGGAUCAGAUGGCAAAGGUCUCCGGCUACCGCCCAGCUCACAUUGCAACCGACCCCUAUGGCCCCUCUCACAGGUGGGGGGCCCAUGGGAAGGGGGACCCGUGUUACCCUUUUGGACUGUGCCUGGCUGAGCCCCAUGGGUGCAGGCCUGGCCACCAGGCGCUCACCUCUGAGCCUCCGGCAUGGGUCCAGAGGGGGGCCCAGUGACCCGCAUCCGGGCAAGGGAAACAUGAAUCUAUUAUUUUUACUCAUCAGAAAGGUUUAUGGAGCCGUACUUUGUCUGGUCCCUCACCUAGAACCUGUUUGCCAUGGGUGACCCAUCCAGGGUCGUGAAGCCCCGGACAACUUAGCUCCCAGGAUCAUCGGGACACACAAACCCCUCAACCACGAUAAGCUGAUUGCUCAAGGAGGGGUUUUGUUUUAAUAGCUCCUUUGUCAUCAAUCUGAAGAAAAUAUUAUUUUUUAAAUGUAAUAGGUAAGAUGGAGUGUGCUGGUGUAUUGCUUACCACAUUUGACUAACAGUUCACAAAUCAGGUUUAAAAUAUUUGCUCAGCCUUGUAGCAAUUGAAUGUUCUCCCUCUGCUUGCAUGUUUGAAUGAAGGUGAGUGUGAAUGGCAUUUGACCAGCCCAAAUUCAGCUGAAACAGGCAUCAGUUUGCCCAUAAACCAACUGAGGACAAUCUGUAUAGAAAAUGGACAAAUGGAUAAUACUAAAUUUAAAGGUAGGGAAAACAUGCUUUUUUCCUGUCUUAACUGCAACUUCUCUCCACCCUCCCAUCUCCUUCUCUGAGAGGGGACCUGGUGUCAAAUGAGGCUGUCGCCAUUGCUCUGCAGAAUUCUGUAUUCACCAAGUGAGACAAGAGCUGAGGAGAAACAUUUCCCCAGAGGUGUUUACCUGUGGGGCAUUAAUGUCCCUACCUGAUGGAAGGAGCUGGAAGAGCAGGAUGUGGAGGGUCCAAAAGGAUUCUGCCUGCUCUGGACCGAGUAGAGUGAUGGUCUUCAAUAGUGGGUAGAGUUGUACCGACAAUCCGUUCAGCGAUUUUGAUUGUCCGUGCAUUGCAUAAUCCAUCCAUUUUCUCACAAGGGUCACAGGAGCCUGUCCUAGUUGUCACUGGGCAGAAGGAAGGGUGCACCCUGAACUGGUUGCCAGCCAAUCGCAGGGCACAUGCAGCCGCACUCAUAGUCACAUCUCGGGGAAAUUUAGAAUCUCCAAUUAAUGUUGUGUCAUGCUCCUGGCAUCCUCCCCAGGUUGGGUGUGGUCAGCCAAUUAGUCGGCACACACCUGCACCCUGGUUUGGGCUGAGUACACCCGGUACUUAUAGGACACGGGGGACAACUAGUCCGCCGCCAGAUCGUUGAGCUUCAUGUCCCGUUCCAGCAGUCUCGUAUCCCUGAUCGACAACUUGUGUGUACCGACCUUCCCCGGUUCUCCGACUCACCCCGUAAGCCUGACUCCCUCGAUAUUUCUGCCUGCUUUGAACGUUCUCCUGUCUACCUGACCUGCCGUGUACCGACCCUCGCCUGCCCCCGCACCAUCCAAGUAAGCCUGCCUCUUCUGCUCUUACGGACUUACUGAUCAUAGACGCCGGACUGAAUAAAGGCUUUUGUACUGUACCUGCUUGCCUCUGGAGUCGUGCAUUUGGGUCCGCCCUCGAGCCUCGUCGUGACAUGUUGCAUGUUUUUGGAAUGUGGAAGGAAACCGGAGUGCAUGGAGAAAAUUCACGCAUGCACAGGGAGAACGUGCAAACUGCAUGCAGGAAGGGCUGGGAUUGAACCCAGGUCCUCAGAACUGGGAGGCCAAGACAAUACAGCUGCUCCACCGUGCUGCUGUAUAAUAUUUUCGUUUUCUGUCAUUUCAUUCACUUCCUCUUGGUCAGCUUCCACUGUUCCUAUCUUUAUCCUCCCCCAGUGUCCUUACUUGGUUUCUUUUCUGCUCCUGCUUUGGCACAGUAUGCCAUAAGUAACUAAAAAACAA